AUUCCACGGGGUUGGGGCAACAGCACUUUUUUGUGUUCCCUAUGAAUUGUUGGCUUUAUCCUGAAAAUGUGUUUGGCGUUUGGAUGUUGCAAUGUGGUUUUGUUGGAAGGCAGUUAUGUAAGCAAUUACUUGAUGCAGAAAUAAAAAUGUUGAACCUCAUUUUUUUUUUUAUGGUGAGACUUUAAAUGAUGAUGUCCAGACUCUUUUUUGGGGUACCAAGUGUGACAUCCAAAAUGGUCAUUUUCAGUUGAAGAUAUCUAAUCAAAAGAUAAACUUAGUCAAAUUCAAAUGGCCAUGAUUGAUAAAGCAACAUUUGUUUAAUAACAAAACAGUAAUGGGAUAGCAAAUGAUAAGAGGCUUUAUAUCAAAAAUCAUUCCUACAACAUCGCAUACCACCGUUACAUGCGAUGUCCGCGUUUAUUUUUUCUGUAACGGCGGUAAAGUGGUAAAUAACUAAAAGUCAGAAAUCAUUCUUUCCAAAGUUAUGUGUCAGAAAUAAAGGGCAGGCAGUAAGCAACUUUUCAUCAAAAGAUAAGCUUUGAAAACCAAUGUUAAUGUCAUGUAAAUUAAUCGAGGGUCGCCGAUGUUUUGGGCGAUGUCCGGGCCAAAUUUGUAACGGUGGAUCACAUUUCAUCGCGUAUGUAAAAAGGAGAGACCGGAGAAGAGACCGUCGUUGUAUCAGACGGACGGGAUGUUAGCCGAAAUCCACGUGCACAUGAACGGCUAUGAUAUCGGGUGUUUUGCAGCAUUGCAAUUGGGAAUCUUCCCGCAAUGUCCGUGUAACGGUGGAUUGGAUCUCCACGAUGUUUUCCCUUUCAAAGCGACGUAGCCUCUGUUCAAGGUGAAAAUGUAUAUCUUCAGUACAUGAAGUGUCAAUCUGGUGACCUGUACUCCUGGCCUGAUGGCGAGGCACAAUUCUACCUCCAUCCACUUUGUGACAUUGACAGAAUCCUCUUCCAAACUGAAAUUUCUUAUUGGGUCACCAGUCUUCUUGAAGUUCAUAAACUUGUAACCUGAAUGUAGAGAGAAAUAUUGCAUGUUAAUUUUAAUAGUCAGGUUUAGUGUACAGUGUAAUACAUUUUUUUGCAUUUGCCAGUAAGAAGUUUACCAAAGAGUUCUUGCAGUUAUAUUUUUUAACAUUAGAAUAGCUUAGUACAUUUUACUUUCUCGCUUACAACUCUGUUAAAAAAAACAGAAGAUAUAAAGGUGGUGAGUUUUUUAAAUUAAAUUUGUCCACUAAGUACUUUACAAUUGUCCUUUUCGCAUGUUGGAACUUAAUGUUUUAUCUAAUGUAUGUAAGUUCCAGUGAUGACAUGAUUAUAUUUUAAUUAAUGUCACUUCUACACUACCAUUUUGAGGACAUGAUGUCCAUGUAACUGAGGUAAAACAAAUUAGAGUUAACAAAUUGAACAAGUUUAUAUGUGUAAGGUAUAAAUGCGUUGUCCAUGUCUUCCAUGUCAACUUUGUCUUGUUUUGUCUUGAAAAACCAUAGCUUAGAAGAACUAAACUAGUACCUUUUCCCUACAUAUUUUUCACCUGAAUAUUGUAUCAAAGGUAUCAAAAAAAUUUGUAAUUGUGUAUGAAUAAAAAAAACAUUUUACCUGUUCAUUGAUAUGAAUUACAGAAGCUUGCUUGUAGAUGUUGUAUUUCUAUACUUGAGUAAGAUGAGUUAAAUUGCAUUUAGUGUGUUGAUACUAGAAAAAUAUGUCAGAUAUUCAAGUAAUGCUAUUCAAUAUGACCAUUACAAGGACAUGAUGUCCGUGUAACAGAGGUAUCUACAUUUGAAAGUAAUAUCUUGAAGGAGAUAUUUCAAAGCAUGAAGCUAUUAUCUUCAUGUUCAAAGUAAUAAAAGAUUUGGAGAUCGUAAGAUAGCACUGUUUCGUUUUUUCCCCUUUAGACAGAAACAUAAAUGUUUUCAGAGACAGACGGAAGUGGAACCUUGAGGAUUAGUAUGAUUUUAAAUAUAAUGUCAACAAUUUUUGUACAUUUUUCCUUGUUUAAACUCUAAUUUAAAGUGCUUUAACUUGCAAAAAUUUGACAUGCAAAAUGUUUUUCUUCUAGUAUAAUCAAUUGAACUUGUGCAAAUAUUCUAAGGCAGAAAGGGUAAUUUGGUAUGUAAUGACCAUUAAUGGAUCCUAACUUACUAUGCUUCAAAUUAUACCUCUGUUACAGAGACAUGAUGUCCAUGUAACGGUGGUAACACCAAACAAAAAUAGAAGGUUAGGCCAGAGAGAGUACAGUGUAGUUGAGUUUUUCCAAAGAGAAUAUUCAAUUCUGUUGAGGCAUGACUUCUCUCAACUAUUUAGUUCUACAUGCCAUCAUAAAUUGAAUUUUCUUGACUGGACUGAGAAAAAAGAACGACACAUAAUUUGUCAAUAAUUUUGUACAUUUUUCUUUGUUUAAACUCUUAUUUAAAUUUCUUGUAUUUGCAAAGAAUUUGACAUGCAAAAUGUUUUUUUCUAAUAUAAUCAAUUGAUCUUGUGCAAAUAAUUUAAGGCAGAAAGUGUAAUUUGGUAUGUGAUGACCAUUAAUGGACCUUAACUUACAAUGCUUCAAAUUAUACCUCUGUUACAGAGACAUGAUGUCCAUGUAACGGUGGUAACACCAAAAAUAGAAGGUUAGGCCAGAAAGAGUAGUUGAGUUUUUCCAAAAAGAAUAUUCCAUUCUGUUGAGGCAUAACUUCUGUCAACUAUUUAGUUCUACAUGCCAUCAUAAAUUGAAUUUUCUUGACUGGUGAGAAAAAAGAACGACACAGAACAUGGCACUGGUAUACACACAGAGCAUCAAGUUCCAUUUAUUGAUGCUAAAUCUUUCAAAAUAUAUAUGCCAUGUUGGAAAAUGUGGAAUAAAGUGACUAAAAAUGUUGUUAGCAAAAUAUUUAUUAAGAGGAAUUGAGAUCAACCCUUUUAUUUUGACAGUGGGAGAGUAUAGUCUAAGUAAGGAUGAUAAAUGAUGUCCGUGUAACGGUGGUAUUUUGUCAAAUCUUGUUUCGCAAUUUACUCAAAUAUGCAGGUUGGUAUGAAAUGCCUGUAAGUGGAUUUAGUUGAAGAAUUGUCCCAUGAAACAUAUGAGAAAAAAAACUUUUCAUUUAUUACAUUUCUAUUUUUUGACCCUGAUGUCACAAUUUUUGCCCCAACCCCAUGGAAUGACCCAUAUGCCCUGAAGGAACUGUUGACUUUUUGUUUCAAUACUUUAGCCAUACUGCUGACAAUAGAACGGUAUUUUCCCUUUUCAGGUUGUUGAGACAAAAAAAUUUAACUCGAAAUAUUUGCAAAAAUAAUAUGCAGUACAUGAAUUCACACAAUAAAUACAGGAACGUUGUUGACUUUGAAAUAGAA